rnacentral:rRNA from 1 species
UACGGAGGGGGCUAGCGUUGUUCGGAAUUACUUGGCGUAAAGCGCACGUAGGCGGCUUUGUAAGUUAGAGGUAAAAGCCCGGGGCUCAACUCCGGAAUUGCCUUUAAGACUGCAUCGCUAGAAUUGUGGAGAGGUAAGUGGAAUUCCGAGUGUAGAGGUGAAAUUCGUAGAUAUUCGGAAGAACACCAGUGGCGAAGGCGACUUACUGGACACAUAUUGACGCUGAGGUGCGAAAGCGUGGGGAGCAAACAGG